UACGGAGGGUGCUAGCGUUGUUCGGAAUCACUGGGCGUAAAGGGCGCGUAGGCGGCCUUGCAAGUCGGUUGGUGAAAGCCCGGGGCUCAACCCCGGAGGUGCGGCCGAGACUGCAGGGCUGGAGGCCGGAAGAGGAGGGUGGAAUACCCAGUGUAGAGGUGAAAUUCGUAGAUAUUGGGUGGAACACCGGUGGCGAAAGCGGCUCUCUGGUCCGGACCUGACGCUGAGGCGCGAAAGCGUGGGGAGCAAACAGG
rnacentral:rRNA from 1 species